AGCCACGCCGCGCGCCACCUCGCCGACACGACUCCGGCAGCAGCGCCCGCCGCCGUGCCGGGCAUCCCUGCGGUUCCGAAGCCGCCGGUGCCCACCGUGCCCGCGGCCGCCCUGCCACCGAUGCCCGCCGUGCCGACGAUGCCCGCGGCGGCAGGCAUGCCACCCAUUCCCGCGGUACCGGCGGUCCCCGCGGUCACCGUGCCACCGAUGCCCACUGUACCAGCUGUCCCCGCGGCGACCCUGCCGCCGAUGCCCGCGGUGCCCACCGUGCCGAACGCGGCGUUGCCACCCAUGCCUGCCGUCCCCAAGGUUACCUUGCCGCCGAUGCCUACCGUGCCGAAGGUGACGCUGCCGCCGAUGCCCUCCAUCCCCAGCGCCGUGCCGAUGCCGUUCUUGGCGCCGCCUCCUUCGGCGUAAUCAAGCAUGCGCGCAGUGCAUGUGUGGAGACGCUGAGUGUCCUCUGUCAAUUUCCCAUGUCUGAUUGUUGAGUCGUUCGUUCGAUCGAGUAUUUGCUGUAUUUUCAUGAACAGAUUUGUUGGAGUUUCUUUCUUGGCUUCCAUUUGAUUUGUGUGUUUAAUUUCUAUUGUAUAUGUAUUAGUUGGAGAGGUCUCAGGUUUUGUCAUUGAUUACUUUGU
rnacentral:lncRNA from 1 species